rnacentral:rRNA from 1 species
AAGCGGAGCCGCGAGGCCGGGCAAAUCCCAAAAAUAACGUCCCAGUUCGGAUUGCAGCCUGCAACUCGGCUGCAUGAAGCUGGAAUCGCUAGUAAUCGCGAAUCAGAAUGUCGCGGUGAAUACGUUCCCGGGUCUUGUACACACCGCCCGUCACACCAUGGGAGUUGGAAAUGCCCGAAGUCAGUGACCCAACCGAAAGGAGGGAGCUGCCGAAGGCAGGUCUGAUAACUGGGGUGAAGUCGUAACAAGGUACC